rnacentral:rRNA from 1 species
GCAAGUCGAACGAUGCUUUCGGGCAUAGUGGCGCACGGGUGCGUAACGCGUGGGAAUCUGCCCUUUGGUUCGGAAUAACAGUUGGAAACGACUGCUAAUACCGGAUGAUGACGAAAGUCCAAAGAUUUAUCGCCAGAGGAUGAGCCCGCGUAGGAUUAGCUAGUUGGUGUGGUAAGAGCGCACCAAGGCGACGAUCCUUAGCUGGUCUGAGAGGAUGAUC